UACGUAGGGUGCGAGCGUUAAUCGGAAUUACUGGGCGUAAAGCGUGCGCAGGCGGUUAUUUAAGUCAGGUGUGAAAGCCCUGGGCUUAACCUAGGAAUUGCGCUUGAGACUGGAUAGCUUGGAGUGCGGCAGAGGGAGGUGGAAUUCCACGUGUAGCAGUGAAAUGCGUAGAGAUGUGGAGGAACACCGAUGGCGAAGGCGGCCUCCUGGGCCAGCACUGACGCUCAUGCACGAAAGCGUGGGGAGCAAACAGG
rnacentral:rRNA from 1 species